AGUUUAGUUAGACUCGCUUUAUGGUCCCAGCAGGGAGUUCGGGUUCUGGAACUAGGCGGUAUAAAGUGUUGUAACGCUCAUUGAAGUCCUGACUAAACAGUUAAAGUGACUCUACCCUGUCGUGUGCUUUUAUUCCCAUACCUCCACCACCGCACAGCAAAAGACCUGUAGCAUCCCCGCCGGACAGCGGCUAGGGCAUUCUGAUGGAAACCUGUUUACCCGCCGAGGUUAAGGAUUAAAGUCGAGACUGCCGGGACAACGAUGCUGCUCCUGUCAGAUGUGACGGGUCUGGAGUAAUUGCAACGACAAGAAAUCCCUACAGACUUUAUUGAACACUAGAGCGGAUAACAACUCUAUUAUUAUUUAAUUGUUUAUUUAUCUAUUUAUUACCAGUUAUGACUUUUAGAUCAUUUAAUUCUGUGUUUGUUUGAUUUGUGUAAAUCGUGUAUUUAUUUAAAGUAUCCUCCAGGCCACCCAAGAAGGAUGGGCCCUGCUGAGUCUGGAUCCUCUCAAGGUUUUUUCCUGUAAUUUUCAGGGAGUUUUUCCUUGCCACAGUCGCCCUCGGCUUGCUCAACAGGGGUUUUUGUAUCUGUUGGUCCUGGAUUUUGUAAAGUUGCUUUGAGACAAUGUCUAUUGUAAAAAGAGCUAUAUAAAUAAAGUUGACUUGACUUGA